rnacentral:rRNA from 1 species
AAGGGGCAGUAAGGCAUAGGUACCUACCCGGGGUUCAGGCAUAGCCUGUAGAAAUACAGGGUAAUUCCUGAUGAUGUCGUAAGACCAAAGCUCCGGCGACCGCGGAGGGGCCUAUGUGAUAUUAGCUAGUUGGUGGGGUAACGGCUCACCAAGGCGAAGAUGUCUAGCGGGUGUGAGAGCACGACCCGCGCCACUGGCACUGAGACACUGGCCAGACACCUACGGGUGGCUGCAGUCGAGGAUCUUCGGCAAUGGGCGCAAGCCUGACCGAGCGAUGCCGCGUGUGCGACGAAGGCCUUCGGGUUGUAAAGCACUGUCGAGGGGGAGAAAAGCGAAAGCUUGAUCUAUCCCUGGAGGAAGCUCGGGCUAAGUUCGUGCCAGCAGCCGCGGUAAGACGAACCGAGCGAACGUUGUUCGGAAUCACUGGGCUUAAAGGGCGCGUAGGCGGGCUAUCAAGUCCGGGGUGAAAUCCUCCAGCUUAACUGGAGAACUGCCUCGGAUACUGAUGGUCUCGAGGGAGAUAGGGGCAAGCGGAACUGUGGGU